GAUCAGGCAGCCCCUGCCCUCGGCGGACCCCUGGGAAAGGGGGUGGCGGUGGUCGGGUUUGUGUGCGCUGCCCCCCCCCCCCUCCCCGGUCCCCGGCCAUCCCUUCGCAAGGCAGAAGCUGUGGUCAAACAGACCUGCUGGUUUUACCCGGACCAAACCCAAGCAGGAGAGAUUCGUGCCCUUCAGCUUCGGAAGCAUCACUUAAAAGAGCCGUGCUGUCGGCAAACUGCAAGACAGACAACCUGAGCUUGUAGUAACCCAGACUGAACGGUAACCCAGGUCUUCCUCGGGUGGAAAAGAGCCUCACGGAAGGAAAAGGAGCACAAACAUCUGGCUUUCCCCCUAGUAUGCAGUCAAGGUGGAGUCAGAGUGGCAGAAGUGAGAAAAGGAAACACGCAAAUGCUCACAAGCUUGGAGUUAUGGGCAAGGGGCUGCUAGAGAAUCUGCAUAGGGGUGAAGAGCCUCUGGUCCUGCAGCAGCUGAACUGUGAGGUCUUCUUACUGAACAAGGUAAAGCUUGUGACUGGUAACAAAAGUAGAACACAACUAUGAAGGCGUAAGAAUCAGUGACAGAAGGACUUGAGAUGAUAGACAGUUACAGUGACCAUCAGGACUGGAUGGCUCUUCUCCAGGCAUGAUAAAGAAUGGAACAGCUGACUUGUUAAUAAAUAUCUACAAGUGAUCAUCUCACAUUUAUUAUGCCAUGCUGAGAUGAAACCUUAACCCUGACUCUAACUCUAGCCCUAGGAAUACCAGUUAAGUUAUAGAUAUUUUAUUUUUGCAUUAUCCUGAAGGACAGAAAUGUUGCUAACACUGAACUCAUGCUAAAGAAAUU